GGGCCGGGGGCGGGGCGCUGCUCCAGGACCCCGCGUCCCGGGCCGUCGAGGUUGAGCCCCCACCCUCCGAGUCGCCUACGCCUACGUGCACCGCCUCACGCCCGGGCUCCCCGGAGCGCCUUUGCGGGCAGUGCGCCCCUCUCCCCGCGUUCCAGAAGCUUCCACGGCGCGCCUGCCCAGCCCUCCUCUACUGAACCAGGCGCUCCCGGAGGUGAGUGGUGACCACCGGGGCUUCAGCCUGCUUGGCUGAGUAGACUCUGGUCACACUUCCAGCCACAGUGAUGGGGAUCCAUCCCCAGGACACUGUUGCUUCUGAGCUUAGCCACCCCCAUGGCAGAGAAGGCCAUGCUUUUGGUUUUAUUCUGUAAACAGAAACUUUUCAUUGUGCUAUUGAACAUUUCUCCGGCUGCUGAUGCCAGGAGAGCCAUAGACUCUUUCCAGUAAUGAAGCUUGUAAAUCCGGCUGAUUCCAAGACCAGCUUGUGCAACCUGAGACCGACUGUGCCUUAACAUGAUCUUCCUGUCCGGCACAUGGAAAAUUACUUCUGAGGAUGUGGGGGAGCCAUUCCUGGGCUCCUGGGAGCCGCCUCCACUACUUCGGGUUUUGAUAAGAAAAUUGGAGAAAGUUCAGAGAUGAGUAGACAUAAUCAAGAAUUGGAAAGUGUGACUGGAGAAGAAAAAGAAGAAUAAAGUGAGGCUUAGAUCGUCUGAAGAAGGAGCAGCUGAGGGAUGGAGCCCUUUACAGUGUGGGUGGCAGGUGCAGUGUCAUGAAUCUUGGCAGAGCCAAGCAGAACCAGCCCUCAGAAGAAUGGCUAGUCUUUGGGGUAAAUAUGUUUCCAGAAUUCCAUCCUUAUCACUGCCAAGUUCCUUGAACUUGACUUCCUGCUUCCCGAACCUCUGAAGUCCUCAAUUUGCCUGACUAGUACUGGAAUUUCCAUGUAUGCUUAACUAUAGAGUCCACCAAUAAUUAUUGGUUAUUAUGACGUUCUCCUCCUCUGUUGAGUCUCAACGUCAGAACUUAAAAGCUUCUAUAAAGCAAGUGUCUCUGGGAUUUUCAAAAUAGCCAGACGCUUCAAUCACAGCCUGAAAGUGUCCCAUUAUGAAACCAAAGCCUUCCUGCCAUCUCAGGCUGCCAGCCCUGCCUUCUGCUGGAGAUGUCUACCUCACUGUUCCCAUGACAAACAUUUAGAAUCUUUAGCUCAUUAAAUACAGAUCUCACAUCCA